CCCGCCGGCGGGCAAGUUUUUGUUGCACCAGCCCUUCCCCCCAACAUGCUUGGUCAAUUUUCGGCAACAUACAGUUGAGUGUUAUUGUCAUGUCAUACACCGUUUGAAAGCUUAGAAUCUCCGGAAUGUCAUCCAAUGUCAACCAUACGGUGGAAUAAAUAUGUUUAGCGAUUAUAGAUCAAAGAUAUCCUAGUGUCUGGUCAAAAUAGCACCCCUCAACCUCCUCCUCCCUUGGUGCAUUCUAACUUUAUCGUCGUUGUGGAUAUCCUUAGCAAUGCGUUGAUACUUCAUGUUGGGUCUUGAAAGUUCAUAAGAGUCCGCCGAAAUCUAAUAUCAAUAUUAUUUUAGUCUAAUUACAUUGUGUAUAUGCACAAACCAUCUUAUACAAAGCAGCCGAAAAAUAGAAAACCGAAACGCUGCAAUGUUUUUUUGUAGAAAACUGCGAUUCAGGGUUUGAAUUCUGCUAUUGUCGUCUGAUUCAUGGAAUCCUGUGUUCGCCAGGGUCUCACGGUGACAUAGAGCCCUCACACAUGUCUGUAAGACCAAUACUUCCUUGUUUACAAGCAUUACAAGCCAAUGAGGCGAUCACUAUCAAAACGGGGCAUGUAUACUUUGAUUGACAGCUACACCAGCAGACAGCAAGGGUCGGGGACGGGCUCACGUGUGGUGGAGAAAACAAAUGCGCAAGGGGUGUGCGUAAACUAGCAGGCUCUUCCCCAGAGUGCGAGUCUGAAGCAAGUGGUUGAAUUGCGCGCUCGUGCAAAAUCCACUGUAUAUGGACUCGGACUCUGAUGAGCCAUCAAGUGAACCGAAGAAACCACGUCUUUCACGCCCGCCUGAUGUGAGAGUUCCAGCAGCAUGGUCCUCACAACUGGCAAGAAAUGAAACGAUGGCAGCAUCCGCCACUGCGCUGGGCCGUACCACCAGCUGCAGGUCCCACAGAGAGAGGGUACCAGUAUAUCACCAUAUGGUUCCGUGCACACCCCAUUUCGUGCCCCACAAUAUGCACAAAACGAUGUGACCAUGCAAGGUGACAACGGGCAGCUUUUGAAAGGCAAG